CCCGCGCGGGCCCCGCCUUCCCCAUCGACUUGGGUGAACCGCCGCUGAGAGUGCGCCGGGGCGGUCGCCUCUCCGAGUCGCUUUCUCCGCUCUCUGUCCCGUCGUCAGCAUGGCCCGUGGAAAUCAACGAGAACUUGCUCGUCAGAAAAACAUGAAGAAAUCCCAGGAAAUAAGCAAGGGAAAAAGAAAAGAGGAUAAUCUAACCGCCUCUCAGAGAAAACAAAGGGAUUCUGAGAUCAUGCAACAAAAGCAGAAGGCAGCUAAUGAGAAGAAGUGUAUGCAAACAAGAGAAAAAUGAUGACUGGCUAUUUGGAAAGCCUGGGUGCUACUGCCAACUUGGUGUAUAAUAACCUCUAUGAUCAAGAUUUUGUAGAGUGAACAGUCAUCCAUAAGUAAUACCUUACCCUUAUAAAACUAUUUUAAACCUCACCUCUUAGCUUGAGUUAGUAUGAUGUUUCAGAACCAUCUUCAAAGAAUAAAACACUAACCAUGCAUAUGACGCAUUGGUGAACAUUAUUUAUCAAUAGUGAACAUUUUUAUAAAUUAUUAGAGAAUGUAAUCAGAUAAUAGAAUCUACUAUAUAAAUCUGGAACCUCUGUCACAAACUUUCUUGUCUAAUAGAAUAUAAGAUCCAUUUAUCUAAUCUUGAUCUGUAAUCAACUGAUUUGCUUAAAGAAUAUAUGAUAGUACAAAUACAUGG